rnacentral:lncRNA from 10 species
GUGGAGUAGCGACGGGCACCCAGCGAAGCCAAUCAGAGAUGGAAGUAGUGCUCUGAGGGUGGGCGCCGCUUGGUACCACCCUCCUCGCCCUCGGUGUCCUGGAGAAAGGCGGAAGGAAUGCGGACCUUUUUGAAGUGACGGACGCGCCAGCCUAUCAGGGGCGAGCUCAAGAGGGCGGGGCGGAAGACUGCAGGAAUGAAAUGGAUUGACAGACCAAAUAACUAAUGAGAGGCUUGAUUGAGAACCUACCCGACUAUCAGAGGACCUGUCCGGGAAGAGAAAUGGGGCUACGUCCAGGUUGGAGGGGCAGGAAAUGCUUUGAGGUCAAGGUGGCUGCAGGAAAAAGGAUGACAUUGAAGAGAUGAGCCCAUCAUUGGCAGAGCCUGGAAAUGAAGAGGGUGUGGCUAGAGGAACCCCCUCUCCUGCAGACUGGACUCACCACCAGCUCCAGUGACAGUGGGCUCAGAGGAGAUCCUCUAAGCCUGCUCAGUACAGGACACAGGCAAACAAGGAACCUGGAGAGGGCAGCCUCUAGCCUCCCUGGCCUGGCAGCUGUAGGACCUACCUCUACAAAGCUAAAAAGUUUGUCACCUAUACCCAGCCACAGCCCCAGGGAAACAGCUGUGUCCCCAGCACCUGCCAGGAAGGGUCAAGACAAGGAAAUCACAGAUAUUUUUUCUUCUAGCGCAAGAACCCCCACCACCUCCCCAAGAGACAUCUAUAAGGAAUAUUUGGAGGGAGAUACUGGGGCAAAAAUAAAUUAACAGGCCGGGCACAGUGGCUUGCGCCUGUAAUCCCACCAGUUUCGGAGGCCGAGGCGGGCAGAUCACUUGAGGUCAGGAGUUUGAGACCAGCCUGGCCAAACCCAUCUAUACUAAAAAUACAAAAAUUAGCUGGGUGCAGUGGGAGGCGCCUGUAAUCUCAGCUACUCGGGAGGCCGAGGCAGGAGAAUCGCUUGAACCCGGGAGGUGGAGGUUGCAGUAAGCUGAGAUCGCACUACCGCGCUCCAGCCUGGGUGACAGAGUGAGACUCUUGUCUCGGAAAAAAAAAAAAAAAAAAUUAACAGCAGCUGGGGUUCAGAAAAUGGACAGAUGUGGUUUUCCUCAAAUACAUGUCCUAGAUGUAGGGUAUCCAAUUAUUACAAUUUUUAUUUUAUUUCAUAUUUAUUUAUUUAUUUUUUAGACAGAAUCUCGCUCUGUUGCCUGGGCUGGAGUGCAGUGGCACUGUAUCCGGAAUUGGGGGGUUCUUGGUCUCACUGACUUCAAGAAUGAAGCCAUGGACCCUUGCGGUAAGUGUUCCAGCUCUUAAGGUGGCGCGUCUGGAGUUUGUUUCUUCUGAUGUUCAGGUGUGUUCAGCGUUUCUUCCUUCUGGUGGGUUCAUGGUUUCACUGGCUCAGGAGUGAAGCUGCAGACCUUCGCAGUGAGUGUUACAGCUCAUAAAAGCAGUGGGGACCCAAAGAGUGAGCAGUACAAGAUUUAUUGCAAAGAGCAAAAGAACAAAGCUUCCACAGUGUGGAAGGGGACCCAAGUGGGUUGCCACUGCUGGCUCGGGCAGCCUGCUUUUAUUCUCUUAUCUGGCCCCACCCACAUCCUGCUGAUUGGUAGAGCCCACUGGUCUGUUUUGACAGGGCGCUGAUUGGUGCGUUUACAAUUCCUGAGCUAGACACAAAGGUUCUCCACAUCCCCACCAGAUUAACUAGAUACAGAGUGUCAACACAAAGGUUCUCCAAGGCCCCACCACAGUAGCUAGAUACAGAGUGUCGAUUGGUGCAUUCACAAACCCUGAGCUAGACACAGGGUGCUGAUUGGUGUGUUUACAAACCUUGAGCUAGAUACAGAGUGCCGAUUGGUGUAUUUACAAUCCCUGAGCUAGACAUAAAGGUUCUCCAAGGCCCCACCAGAGUAGCUAGAUACAGAGUGUUCAUUGGUGCAUUCACAAACCCUGAGCUAGACAUAGGGUGAUGAUUGGUGUAUUUACAAUCCCUGAGCUAGACAAAGGUUCUCCACGUCCCCACCAGACUCAGGAGCCCAGCUAGCUUCACCCAGUGGAUCCUGCACCGGGGCUGCAGGUGGAGCUGCCUGCCAGUCCCACGCCGUGCGCCUGCACUCCUCAGCCCUUGGGUGGUGGAUGGGACUGGGCACCAUGGAGCAUGGGGCAGUGCUCGUCAGGGAGGCGCGGGCCGCACAGGAGCCCAUGGAGGGGGUGGGAGGCUCAGGCAUGGCGGGCUGCAGGUCCCGAUCCCUGCCCCGCGGGAAGGCAGCUAAGGCCUGGUGAGAAAUCAAGCGCAGCGCCGGUGCGCUGGCACUGCUGGGGGACCCAGUACACCCUCCGCAGCCGCUGUCCGGCCCGGGUGCUAAGCCCCUCAUUGCCCGGGGCCAGCAGGGCCGGACGGCUGCUCUGAGUGCAGGGUCCGCCAAGCCCACGCCCACCCGGAACUCCAGCUGGCCCACAAGCACCGCGCGCAGCCCCGAUUCCGGCUCGCGCCUCUCCCUCCACACUUCCCUGCAAGCUGAGGGAGCCAGCUCCGGCCUUGGCCAGCCCAGAAAGGGGCUCCCACAGUGCAGCGGUGGGCUGAAGGGCUCCUGAAGUGCCGCCACAGUGGGAGCCCAGGCAGAGGAGUCGCAGAGAGUGAGCGAGGGCUGUGAGGACUGCCAGCACGCUGUCACCUCUCAGCGCCAUCUCGGCUCACUGCAACCUCCACCUCCUGGGUUCAAGCAAUUCUCCGGCCUCAGCCUCCUGAGUAGCUGGGAUUAUAGGUGCGCAUCACUAUGCCCAGCUAAUUUUUGUAUUUUUAGUAGAAAUGAGGUUUCACCACAUUGGCCAGGCCAGACCAGCCUGGACAAUAGAGUGAGACCCUAUAUAGGGAUCUCACUAUAUAGAGCAAUACAGCGGGAUCACCCGACCUCGGGUGAUCCGCUCGUUGGCCUCCCAAAGUGCUAGUGUUACAAGUGUGAGCCAAUGCGCCCAGCCCUAUUCUUUUUUUUUUUUUUUUUUUUUUUGAAAUCAAGUCUUGCUCUGUCACCCAGGCUGGAGUGCAGUGGCAUGAUCUCUGCUCACCGCAACCUCCACCUCCCGAGUUCAAGUGAUUCUCCUGCCUCAGCCUCCUGAGUAGCUGGGAUUACAGGCACCCGCCACCACACCCGGCUAAUUUUUGUAUUUUUAGUAGAGACGGGGUUUCACCAUGUUGGUCAGGCGGGCCUGGAACUCGUAAUGUCAGAUGAUCCACCUGCCUCGGCCUCCUAAAGUGCUGGGAUUACAGGCAUGAGCGACCACGCCAUCUUUUUUUUUUUUUUUUAACAAAACACAGAUGUAGAAUUAGAGCCUUCAGGGGUGGGUGCAGUGGCGCUCACACCUUUAAUCCCAUCACUUUGUGAAGCCAAGGCAGGAGGAUCCCUUGAGUCUCGGUGUUUGAGACCAGCCUGGACAAUAGAAUGAGACCCUGCCUCUACGAAAAAAAAAUUAUUUUUGUUUUGAGAUGGAGUCUUGCUCUGUUGCCCAGGCUGGAGUGCAGUGGCGCAAUCUCGGCUUAUUUGCAGCCUCUGCCUCCUUGGCUCAAGUGAUUCUUCUGCGUCAGCCUCUAGAGUAGCUGGGACUACAGACGUGCACCACCAUGCUCGGCUAAUUUUUGUAUUUUUUUGUAGAGAUGGGGGUUCCACCAUGUUGGCCCGGCUGGUCUCGAACUGCUGACCUCAAGUGACCUGCCUGUCUCGGCCUCACAAAUGGCUGGGAUUACAGGCACGAGACACCGUGCCUGGCCCUGGGAACAUGUUUACAUGGACUUUGUUCACUUUUUAAAACAAACUGAGGGUAACUUACUAGAUCUGUGAACUAAAGAAAGAGAAAAAAAAGAAAGAAAACAAACAAGAACAAAGAACAAAGUGUUCUGAGGUUGCUUUUAUUCCAAGAACUCUGUGAGCUCCCACCAGCACCAUGAGGGCGCUCUCG